rnacentral:lncRNA from 1 species
CACAAUUCACGGAGAGAUCACUAUUUUUUUAUACACACAGACGAAAAAAAAGGAGCUGAGGCACAUAUACACAGAACUCCAUUUUUUUUCUUGUCUUGCUCUCACCAUGAACCCACAGAUUACACAUAAAAUUCUCCAUGGAUGAAUAUUUCAACACAGUUUGAUGUUCUAUUAACACCAAAAAAUGAAAAAAAAAUUAAAAAAGGCAAUACACACUCACAUACUCUCCACCCACCAUCACUCUCACAUCCCACCCAUCCAUCACAGAUGCACAAACAGAGAGCUAGACAGAAAACACACACACUACAUGGAGAGAUUCGAGAAUGCUACAGAAAAACUGUGAGAGAAAGAAGUAGAAAAAAACUAUAGGAAGGAACAAAAUUCCAGAUCGCCAAUCACUGUUGCGGCGAUCUACUCACCAAAAAAAAUUGAUACAAGCACGACCAAGAAGAUAGACACUUUUGAGUAUUUUGAAUGCAACAUACAGAGUGCAUGAGUUGAAGUGUAAAAAGGGCUCCAACGUCGCCCCUCUAUUGCACUCCAUGGGCUCCAUUUUGUUCAUUUAACACUAAGGGGCACUUUUGUCAUUUUGUCUCUUUUGUAAUAAGUCUAUAAAUAGAACAUGUUAGGGUUUUAGCUCAUUAGUUGUUGAAUGUUGAUGAUAGAACACAUCUCUUGAGAGAGAAAGCCUCCCUAGGCUGAAACUAGGACAUGAGCAAAUGUGGAUUCACUUGUGAAUGUGUAUUGCUUGGAAACGAUGGUGCUUGAGCGGUGGAAUCCCUCUCGUGUCUUCGUAAGGGUGUUGUGUUGCUAUCGUAAGUUCUAGGGUUCCUUAGAUUUAAUAUCUUUGGGUUCUUGGGUCUUAUUGUAGUGUAUUUCUCACUAUCUAUCUCUAUAUUUUAUGUCUUAGUGUUGUUUAGGGAAACCUUUGGUUCUUGUUGUUCAUGUAUCUUGUAACCAUUUGUUGUUGUUAUUAUCCUUAUCAUAUUGUUGUCUAUCUUCUUGUGUUCAUCAAAUUUUAGUGGCUGUUUUGGUGUAUAAAUACACCUUGUUUCCUUGUAUUCCUGUGUUGUAGUUGUUUGACCGAAACUAGCUCUCAAAGGGGUACUUGGAUUCCUCUUGAUUUGUGG